rnacentral:rRNA from 1 species
GCGGAAGGCCCUUCGGGGUACUCGAGCGGCGAACGGGUGAGUAACACGUGAGCAACCUGCCCCAGGCUUUGGGAUAACCCCGGGAAACCGGGGCUAAUACCGAAUAUGACCUCUGACCGCAUGGUUGGUGGUGGAAAGUUUUUCGGCUUGGGAUGGGCUCGCGGCCUAUCAGCUUGUUGGUGGGGUGAUGGCCUACCAAGGCGACGACGGGUAGCCGGCCUGAGAGGGCGACCGGCCACACUGGGACUGAGACACGGCCCAGACUCCUACGGGAGGCAGCAGUGGGGAAUAUUGCACAAUGGGCGGAAGCCUGAUGCAGCGACGCCGCGUGAGGGAUGACGGCCUUCGGGUUGUAAACCUCUUUCAGCAGGGACGAAGCGUAAGUGACGGUACCUGCAGAAGAAGCGCCGGCCAACUACGUGCCAGCAGCCGCGGUAAGACGUAGGGCGCGAGCGUUGUCCGGAUUUAUUGGGCGUAAAGAGCUCGUAGGCGGCUUGUCGCGUCGACCGUGAAAACUUGGGGCUCAACCCCAAGCCUGCGGUCGAUACGGGCAGGCUAGAGUUCGGUAGGGGAGACUGGAAUUCCUGGUGUAGCGGUGAAAUGCGCAGAUAUCAGGAGGAACACCGGUGGCGAAGGCGGGUCUCUGGGCCGAUACUGACGCUGAGGAGCGAAAGCGUGGGGAGCGAACAGGAUUAGAUACCCUGGUAGUCCACGCUGUAAACGUUGGGC